CGGCUGCGCUCCGGCUUCAGCCCUGGGCUCCGCCUCCGGAGGGGGUUUGUUUGCGCCAUCUGCAGCUGUUGCUCCUGCCUGGCGCGGUGGUGCGGGCUCGGCUCCCCUCCCCGGCUGCGCUCCGGCUUCAGCCCUGGCUUCUCGGGGUCGGCGAGCUGGGGCUCCUGCGCGCGCUUCGUUCUUAUACGAACGUCGGGCUCACUCAUUUGUUUAUGUCCUAAAAAAGUUGUGUGGACGACUGCUUUAAUUUUCUUUGUUAGCACUCUAAAGUUUAGGAAAGAACUAAGAACCACGUCAGAAGCUGCAGUUUUUUGUUCUUGUUUCUUAUAGGCUGAAGGGGAUGCUAAAGGAGAUAAAGCCAAGGUGAAGGACGAACCACAGAGAAGAUCCGCGAGGUUGUCUGCUGUAAGUGUAUGCUUUUGAAUUUUCGUAUUUGUCCCUGAACCAAAAAACAUCAAAAAACAAUUCCCUUUGCUUCCCAUGAGUUAUGAAACCUGCUCCUCCAAAGCCAGAGCCCAAGCCUAAAAAGGCCCCUGCAAAGAAGGGAGAGAAGGUACCCAAAGGGAAAAAGGGAAAAGCUGAUGCUGGCAAGGAGGGGAAUAACCCUGCAGAAAACGGAGAUGCCAAAACAGACCAGGCACAGAAAGCUGAAGGUGCUGGAGAUGCCAAGUGAAGUGUGUGCAUUUUUGAUAACUGUGUACUUCUGGUGACUGUACAGUUUGAAAUACUAUUUUUUAUCAAGUUUUAUAAAAAUGCAGAAUUUUGUUUUACUUUUUUUUUUUUUUUUUUAAAGCUAUGUUGUUAGCACACAGAACACUUCAUUGUUGUUUUUGGGGGAAGGGGCAUAUGUCACUAAUAGAAUGUCUCCAAAGCUGGAUUGAGGUGGGGAAAACACCUUUCCCUUCUAGUUUUGAGAGACUUCCUCUUGGUUCCCAGGAGGAGGGAGUCCCUGACUUUGACACACAUGGCCACCUUGGCACAAAAGCCUUGUGGUGUGGAAAAACAAAUUUGUUUUUAUGUUCUCUUCUCCCUUUCCAUCUUUCAGCAUAGACUUAACUCCCUUAAGCCCAGACAUCUGUUGGGACCUGACCCGUAGUCAUUGGUUACCAGUGUGUCAGGCAAUCUGGACUUUUCCAGUGAUGCCACUGAGAUGGCACCUGUCAAAACAGCAUUGGUUCCAUUUCUAGAUAGUGGAUUUUCAGAUAAAUUCUGCCAUUUUCAUUUCACUUCCUGAAAGUCAGGGUCGGCUUGUGAAAAGUUGUUAAACAACAUGCUAAAUGUGAAAUGUCAACCCUCACUCUAAACUUUCCCUGUUCAGAGCAUCAGAUGAAGACUUCAUUGGGUUUUAUAGUGGCUUUCUGAUUUUUGGUAGUCCAUUGAAGAAGGGAGUUUGAAAGUUGUUGUAUACUGUUAACGAUUGUCUGCCCAUGUCCUGCCUGAAAUACCAUGAUUGUUUAUGGAAAGUAUCUUUAAUAAAGCUGGAUACAGUUUGGCUUGGAA